rnacentral:lncRNA from 1 species
CGGUUUAGGAUAGGUUUCUAAUUCGAGUCAAACAUUUAGCUAUUCUUUUAUAUCUAAAAAAUAAUAAUUUAUAAUUAAAUAUGAAACCAUUACAAAAUUUAAAUAUAAUUACAAAAUCCAACUUAAAAUUAAGUUUUUAUUCAAAAUUUUUAAUUUUAUCCAUCAAAAAAAUUAGACAUGAUUUUUUUUAAAUAUAUAUAUUUAUAUA